GAUGAAGAACGCAGCGAAAUGCGAUAAGUAAUGUGAAUUGCAGAAUUCAGUGAAUCAUCGAAUCUUUGAACGCACAUUGCGCCCGCCAGUAUUCUGGCGGGCAUGCCUGUUCGAGCGUCAUUACAACCCUCAGGCCCCCGGGCCUGGCGUUGGGGAUCGGCGAGGCGCCCCCCGCGGGCACGCGCCGUCCCCCAAAUACAGUGGCGGUCCCGCCGCAGCUUCCAUUGCGUAGUAGCUAACACCUCGCAACUGGAGAGCGGCGCGGCCAUGCCGUAAAACACCCAACUUCUGAAUGUUGACCUCGAAUCAGGUAGGAAUACCCGCUGAACUUAAGCAUAUCAAUAAGCGGAG
rnacentral:misc_RNA from 1 species